CUCGCAUCGCGGAGGAAGCUGGCGCUUGCGCCGUCAUGGCCCUGGAGCGCGUCCCCGCCGAUAUUCGCGCUCAGGGAGGCGUCGCUCGGAUGAGCGAUCCCCAGAUGAUAAAGGAUAUCAUGGCCCGGGAGCGCGCCCCCGCCGAUAUUCGCGCUCAGGGAGGCGUCGCUCGGAUGAGCGAUCCCCAGAUGAUAAAGGAUAUCAAGCAGGCCGUCACGAUUCCGGUGAUGGCGAAGGCCAGGAUUGGUCAUUUCGUGGAGGCGCAGAUCCUCGAGGCGAUCGGAAUCGAUUACAUCGACGAGAGCGAGGUGUUGACUCUCGCCGACGAAGACAACCAC
rnacentral:lncRNA from 1 species